rnacentral:rRNA from 1 species
CGCUGGCGGCGUGCCUAAUACAUGCAAGUCGAGCGGAAUGAUAAAGAAGCUUGCUUCUUCUGAUUCUAGCGGCGGACGGGUGAGUAACACGUGGCAACCUACCUUGUAGAUUGGGAUAACUCCGGGAAACCGGGGCUAAUACCGAAUAAUCCAUUUUGCUUCAUGGCGAGAUGUUGAAAGACGGUUUCGGCUGUCACUACAAGAUGGGCCCGCGGCGCAUUAGCUAGUUGGUAGGGUAAUGGCCUACCAAGGCGACGAUGCGUAGCCGACCUGAGAGGGUGAUCGGCCACACUGGGACUGAGACACGGCCCAGACUCCUACGGGAGGCAGCAGUAGGGAAUCUUCCACAAUGGACGAAAGUCUGAUGGAGCAACGCCGCGUGAGUGAAGAAGGUUUUCGGAUCGUAAAACCCUGUUGUAAGGGAAGAACACGUACGAGAGUAACUGCUCGUACCUUGACGGUACCUUAUUAGAAAGCCACGGCUAACUACGUG